rnacentral:rRNA from 1 species
AACGAACGCUGGCGGCAUGCCUAACACAUGCAAGUCGAACGAAGGCUUCGGCCUUAGUGGCGCACGGGUGAGUAACGCGUGGGAAACUGCCUAUUGGUGGGGAAUAACGACGGGAAACUGUCGCUAAUACCGCAUAAGCCCCUCGGGGGACAGAUUUAUCGCCGAUAGAUGUGCCCGCGUCCGAUUGGCUAGUUGGUGAGGUAAUGGCUCACCGAGGCGACGAUCGGUAGCUGGUCUGAGAGGAUGAUCAGCCACACUGGGACGGAGACACGGCCCAGACUCCUACGGGAGGCAGCGGUGGGGAAUAUUGGACAAUGGGCGUAAGCCUGAUCCAGCAAUGCCGCGUGAGUGAUGAAGGCCUUAGGGUUGUAAAGCUCUUUCGGGUGGGACGAUGAUGACGGUACCACCAGAAGAAGCCCCGGCUAACUUCGUGCCAGCCGCCGCCGUAA